rnacentral:rRNA from 1 species
GCCCCGGUAAACGGCGGCCGUAACUAUAACGGUCCUAAGGUAGCGAAAUUCCUUGUCGGGUAAGUUCCGACCUGCACGAAUGGCGUAAUGAUGGCCAGGCUGUCUCCACCCGAGACUCAGUGAAAUUGAACUCGCUGUGAAGAUGCAGUGUACCCGCGGCAAGACGGAAAGACCCCGUGAACCUUUACUAUAGCUUGACACUGAACAUUGAGCCUUGAUGUGUAGGAUAGGUGGGAGGCUUUGAAGUGUGGACGCCAGUCUGCAUGGAGCCGACCUUGAAAUACCACCCUUUAAUGUUUGAUGUUCUAACGUUGGCCCGUAAUCCGGGUUGCGGACAGUGUCUGGUGGGUAGUUUGACUGGGGCGGUCUCCUCCUAAAGAGUAACGGAGGAGC